AACCUGCGGAAGGAUCAUUAUUGAAAUAAACCUGAUAAGUUGUUGCUGGCUCUCUAGGGAGCAUGUGCACACUUGUCAUCUUUGUACCUUCACCUGUGCACCUUUUGUAGACUUGAGUAUCUCUCUGAAUGCUUUUGUAUUCAGGAUUGAGGAUUGACUUUCUGUCUUUUCUUAUAUUUUCAAGUCUAUGUUUCUUCAUAUACCCUAAUGUAUGUUCAAGAAUGUAAUUAAUGGGCCUUUUGUGCCUAUAAAGUCUAUACAACUUUCAGCAACGGAUCUCUUGGCUCUCGCAUCGAUGAAGAACGCAGCGAAAUGCGAUAAGUAAUGUGAAUUGCAGAAUUCAGUGAAUCAUCGAAUCUUUGAACGCACCUUGCGCUCCUUGGUAUUCCGAGGAGCAUGCCUGUUUGAGUGUCAUUAAUAUAUAUCAACCUUUGGUUGGAUGUGGGUUUGCUGGCCUCUUAAGGUCAGCUCCCCUUAAAUGCAUUAGCGGACAAUAUAUUGCCAACUGUUCAUUGGUGUGAUAAUUUAUCUACACUAUUAACCUGACGCAAUGUUCAGCUUCUAACGGUCCAUUGACUUGGACAAAUUUAUUUUAUUAAUGUGACCUCAAAUCAGGUAGGACUACCCGCUGAACUUAA
rnacentral:rRNA from 1 species